rnacentral:rRNA from 1 species
UACGGAGGGAGCUAGCGUUGUUCGGAAUUACUGGGCGUAAAGCGCGCGUAGGCGGCUUUGUAAGUUAGAGGUGAAAGCCCGGGGCUCAACCCCGGAACUGCCUUUAAGACUGCAUCGCUUGAAUCCGGGAGAGGUGAGUGGAAUUCCGAGUGUAGAGGUGAAAUUCGUAGAUAUUCGGAAGAACACCAGUGGCGAAGGCGGCUCACUGGACCGGUAUUGACGCUGAGGUGCGAAAGCGUGGGGAGCAAACAGGAUUAGAAACCCCUGUAGUCC